rnacentral:rRNA from 1 species
AAUAAUGCAAGUCGAACGAGAAAGCUCUUCGGAGUGAGUACAGUGGCGCACGGGUGAGUAACGCGUAGGUGACGUGCCUUAUAGUUGGGGACAACAUCGGGAAACCGGUGCUAAUACCGAAUAAGCUUGACGACAUUGAAAAAGUUAAGGAAAGGGGCCUUUGGUCUCGCUAUAAGAUCGGCCUGCGUGACAUUAGCUUGAUGGUGGGGUAACGGCCUACCAUGGCGACGAUGUCUAGCUGGUCUGAGAGGAUGAUCAGUCACACUGGAACUGAGACACGGUCCAGACUCCUACGGGAGUCAGCAGUAGGGAAUAUUGCGCAAUGGGGGAAACCCUGACGCAGCAAUGCCACGUGAGUGAGGAAGGCCUUCGGGUUGUAAAGCUCUGUCCUAUAGGAAGAAUGGCUUUGGGUAACGCCAAAGUUUGACGGUACUAUAGAAGAAAGCACCGGCUAACUCCGUGCCAGCAGCCGCGGUAAUACGGAGGGUGCAAGCGUUGUUCGGAUUUACUGGGGCGUAAGCGCGCGCAGGCGGGCUA